rnacentral:rRNA from 1 species
UACGGAGGGGGCUAGCGUUGUUCGGAAUUACUGGGCGUAAAGCGCACGUAGGCGGCUUUGCAAGUCAGAGGUGAAAGCCCGGGGCUCAACCCCGGAAUUGCCUUUGAGACUGCAUCGCUAGAAUUGUGGAGAGGUAAGUGGAAUUCCGAGUGUAGAGGUGAAAUUCGUAGAUAUUCGGAAGAACACCGGUGGCGAAGGCGGCGCUCUGGACCGAGACUGACGCUGAGGCGCGAAAGCGUGGGGAGCAAACAGG